AGCGUACACGGUGGAUGCCCUGGCAGUCAGAGGCGAUGAAGGACGUGCUAAUCUGCGAUAAGCGUCGGUGAGGUGAUAUGAACCGUUAUAACCGGCGAUUUCCGAAUGGGGAAACCCAGUGUGAUUCGUCACACUAUCAUUAACUGAAUCCAUAGGUUAAUGAGGCGAACCGGGGGAACUGAAACAUCUAAGUACCCCGAGGAAAAGAAAUCAACCGAGAUUCCCCCAGUAGCGGCGAGCGAACGGGGAGGAGCCCAGAGCCUGAAUCAGUGUGUGUGUUAGUGGAAGCGUCUGGAAAGGCGCGCGAUACAGGGUGACAGCCCCGUACACAAAAAUGCACAUACUGUGAGCUCGAUGAGUAGGGCGGGACACGUGGUAUCCUGUCUGAAUAUGGGGGGACCAUCCUCCAAGGCUAAAUACUCCUGACUGACCGAUAGUGAACCAGUACCGUGAGGGAAAGGCGAAAAGAACCCCGGCGAGGGGAGUGAAAAAGAACCUGAAACCGUGUACGUACAAGCAGUGGGAGCCUCUUAAUGGGGUGACUGCGUACCUUUUGUAUAAUGGGUCAGCGACUUAUAUUCUGUAGCAAGGUUAACCGAAUAGGGGAGCCGAAGGGAAACCGAGUCUUAACUGGGCGUUAAGUUGCAGGGUAUAGACCCGAAACCCGGUGAUCUAGCCAUGGGCAGGUUGAAGGUUGGGUAACACUAACUGGAGGACCGAACCGACUAAUGUUGAAAAAUUAGCGGAUGACUUGUGGCUGGGGGUGAAAGGCCAAUCAAACCGGGAGAUAGCUGGUUCUCCCCGAAAGCUAUUUAGGUAGCGCCUCGUGAAUUCAUCUCCGGGGGUAGAGCACUGUUUCGGCAAGGGGGUCAUCCCGACUUACCAACCCGAUGCAAACUGCGAAUACCGGAGAAUGUUAUCACGGGAGACACACGGCGGGUGCUAACGUCCGUCGUGAAGAGGGAAACAACCCAGACCGCCAGCUAAGGUCCCAAAGUCAUGGUUAAGUGGGAAACGAUGUGGGAAGGCCCAGACAGCCAGGAUGUUGGCUUAGAAGCAGCCAUCAUUUAAAGAAAGCGUAAUAGCUCACUGGUCGAGUCGGCCUGCGCGGAAGAUGUAACGGGGCUAAACCAUGCACCGAAGCUGCGGCAGCGACACUAUGUGUUGUUGGGUAGGGGAGCGUUCUGUAAGCCUGUGAAGGUGUACUGUGAGGUAUGCUGGAGGUAUCAGAAGUGCGAAUGCUGACAUAAGUAACGAUAAAGCGGGUGAAAAGCCCGCUCGCCGGAAGACCAAGGGUUCCUGUCCAACGUUAAUCGGGGCAGGGUGAGUCGACCCCUAAGGCGAGGCCGAAAGGCGUAGUCGAUGGGAAACAGGUUAAUAUUCCUGUACUUGGUGUUACUGCGAAGGGGGGACGGAGAAGGCUAUGUUGGCCGGGCGACGGUUGUCCCGGUUUAAGCGUGUAGGCUGGUUUUCCAGGCAAAUCCGGAAAAUCAAGGCUGAGGCGUGAUGACGAGGCACUACGGUGCUGAAGUGACAAAUGCCCUGCUUCCAGGAAAAGCCUCUAAGCAUCAGGUAACAUCAAAUCGUACCCCAAACCGACACAGGUGGUCAGGUAGAGAAUACCAAGGCGCUUGAGAGAACUCGGGUGAAGGAACUAGGCAAAAUGGUGCCGUAACUUCGGGAGAAGGCACGCUGAUAUGUAGGUGAAGCGACUUGCUCGUGGAGCUGAAAUCAGUCGAAGAUACCAGCUGGCUGCAACUGUUUAUUAAAAACACAGCACUGUGCAAACACGAAAGUGGACGUAUACGGUGUGACGCCUGCCCGGUGCCGGAAGGUUAAUUGAUGGGGUUAGCGGCAACGCGAAGCUCUUGAUCGAAGCCCCGGUAAACGGCGGCCGUAACUAUAACGGUCCUAAGGUAGCGAAAUUCCUUGUCGGGUAAGUUCCGACCUGCACGAAUGGCGUAAUGAUGGCCAGGCUGUCUCCACCCGAGACUCAGUGAAAUUGAACUCGCUGUGAAGAUGCAGUGUACCCGCGGCAAGACGGAAAGACCCCGUGAACCUUUACUAUAGCUUGACACUGAACAUUGAGCCUUGAUGUGUAGGAUAGGUGGGAGGCUUUGAAGUGUGGACGCCAGUCUGCAUGGAGCCGACCUUGAAAUACCACCCUUUAAUGUUUGAUGUUCUAACGUGGGCCCGUAAUCCGGGUUGCGGACAGUGUCUGGUGGGUAGUUUGACUGGGGCGGUCUCCUCCUAAAGAGUAACGGAGGAGCACGAAGGUUGGCUAAUCCUGGUCGGACAUCAGGAGGUUAGUGCAAUGGCAUAAGCCAGCUUGACUGCGAGCGUGACGGCGCGAGCAGGUGCGAAAGCAGGUCAUAGUGAUCCGGUGGUUCUGAAUGGAAGGGCCAUCGCUCAACGGAUAAAAGGUACUCCGGGGAUAACAGGCUGAUACCGCCCAAGAGUUCAUAUCGACGGCGGUGUUUGGCACCUCGAUGUCGGCUCAUCACAUCCUGGGGCUGAAGUAGGUCCCAAGGGUAUGGCUGUUCGCCAUUUAAAGUGGUACGCGAGCUGGGUUUAGAACGUCGUGAGACAGUUCGGUCCCUAUCUGCCGUGGGCGCUGGAGAACUGAGGGGGGCUGCUCCUAGUACGAGAGGACCGGAGUGGACGCAUCACUGGUGUUCGGGUUGUCAUGCCAAUGGCACUGCCCGGUAGCUAAAUGCGGAAGAGAUAAGUGCUGAAAGCAUCUAAGCACGAAACUUGCCCCGAGAUGAGUUCU
rnacentral:rRNA from 1 species